rnacentral:lncRNA from 1 species
AAUUGUAGUUUCCUGAACUGGUGGUUGACUCACUUUUUUCAUUGUUUGAACCAAUAAGUUCGUAUAUGCAGUAGCAAUUUUUCUUCUAGGCUUCAGGCCAGAUUUCCAACAGCCUAUUGCUUGCACAUAGUAGACCCGGAUAUCUUUCAAGCCCCAAUUUUGAGCCUCCAACCUUGCCCUCCUCCAAUCAUCCUACUCCAUCCUGUCCACCGUGGCUUCAUAAAUUACUAAACCAGUAUAUGGACCACAAGUCUUGGAAUGUUCUCCCUUACUUUUGGUUCCUGGCAAACUCACCCUCCAGUAGACCAAAAAGCUAUGCUUGCCAUUGGGAUAGGCACAGAAACGGAAGGACCAGAGUCAAGUGUGGAUACUACAAAAAUGUUUCUUGAAGUAGGAGAAUCAGAUGGAUUGAUUGGGAAUGGAAGGGAUGGUGAUUGCAGAAACGGGUUCUGUGAUGUCAAGUGCUAUGUAAAAAAGAUGUUACUGUAAAAUGAAUUACUUAUUUUAACAUUAUAAGUAGAGAGGGGAAUUGUGUUUAAGAGUAAUGCAAUUAAGGCAAAGGAAAAAAGAUUCAGAGAGAUGCCUGGCCAAGGUGUUUGGGUUUGAUGUGAUAAAAGGGCUUAUGGCAGCUUCCUUUCAUAUUGAGAUUUAAAGUGUCAGAUAACUGUCAUAUACAUUCACAGGCAUCUAAUUUAAGCUUCAAUAUAUGG